GAAAUGCGAUAAGUAAUGUGAAUUGCAGAAUUCAGUGAAUCAUCGAAUCUUUGAACGCACAUUGCGCCUAUUAGUAUUCUAGUAGGCAUGCCUAUUCGAGCGUCAUUUCAACCCUUAAGCUUAGCUUAGUGUUGGGAGAUUACCCUGUUGUAACUCCCUAAAACCAUUGGCAGAGUCAAUACACCUCUGAGCGCAGUAAUUUUUUCUCGCUUCUGUGGCCUGUAUUAACGAUCGCCAUAAACCUAUUAUUUUUCAAUGGUUGACCUCGGAUUAGGUAGGAAUACCCGCUGAACUUAA
rnacentral:misc_RNA from 1 species